UCCUGUCAAACAGCAACAUCCUUAAAGCUUUACUUCAAAUGCUUCUAAAUCAACUUAAGACUUAUAAAGGUUAAUUGUGAACAAAGGAUAGGUUCAAAGGCCUUCUUCCAUGCUUUACUUCCUCAGUUAUUUAUUAGAAUUCGUCUUUCUAACUGUCCCAUGGUCGGUUUCCACACUUAGCAUAAUCACAAAUACACACGUUGCCUGUAUGUACCUGACACGAAACACAGCUUUGUAUUUCACAGGGACAGGAGAAAUGGGGACAGCUGGACCAGGCUGAGAUGGUAACAGAGGACAACCAGGCUACUAUCCCAGGCUGGGGACAGCCAGGCCGGGCUGGGUUAGGCCCAGUCCAGGCCCAGGCCCGGGCCCAGUUUAGGCCGCGCUGUCCCGACCCCGUUGCCCGGCAACGGUGGCGGGCAUCACGUGACCGUUCAGGAGCGCUCACGUGGGUCCGUUGGCGUCGGGCGGCGCCGGUUGAUGACGUCACAGCGCCGCGGAGCCGUGCGGGAGAGCUGCGGGAAUGGAGGAACGGGAGCGGCUGUGCCGGGAGAUCCGAGCGCUCCAGGGUCUCAUAAACAGCCACAGGAACAUGCACGGGAAUGUCCCACGUCCGGCGCCAUCGGCUCCUCCAAGGUGGAACAACCCCCACCAGCCUGGCUACACCAGGAGAGGAGCCUUUUCCACCAGGUACUCCCAGCAGGCUCCCAGGAAUUUCCACCCACGCCAGACUCACUCCUGGAGGAAAAAAUACUCCCUGGACAACCGGCUGCCGGGAUCGGGGUAUGACGCUGGAAGUGCUUCCAGCAAUUCCCAGGGUUUUGGGAGCCUUGGGAACAGCCAGACUCCUGAGGCACCGGAAUCGUCCCCGGAGAGACACGUGGACUUCACCACGGAUGGGAACAUCGUUGUGGAUAUCCAGGUGCCACAAAGGGCUGGCCAGGAAAACGUGGGUCCUUACGGAGAUUUUUCCAGGCGGGGAGCGGCGGUGGCUCCUUCGGCGGAUGGAAACAUCCAGAAAUCUCUUCUCCAGGAAGAAGAGAGAAGACCUUCCCUAUCCAUUUCCUUCAGUUCCACCUCGAGGACUGUGUGCCUGCCUGGCAGCGGAGCCGGGAGCUCCUUUUCCGCCUCUGGAAGCACCAGUGAAAGUGCCGUGGCGCUGAAGUCGGAGCCACAAAAACCUUUGGAAUUUCCGGGUCAGGAGCCAGCCCAGCACUUGGUACAGAUCAAGGCAGAACCACUCUCUCCAGGGCAGCCAAGUGGUGAGGAUGCUUCCCUACAUCCCAAACUCUUUGGGAACACUGAGUUGCUCUCUCGACCUGCUCAGGCUGCUGGGGUGGCUCUGGUGAAGAGCAGAUUUCCCGUAAUUCCCAAAGCUCCCACUCUCCAAAAAGCUGCCUCAGCACCCAUCUCCAGCAAAUCUCAGAAAUUCAGGAAAAACAACUACACCUGGGUGGCAAACCCUGGGAAAAGCUCUCGGAUUGUGAAGAGGUGGGCGAGCCCUCGAGCCGAAAAUUCCAAGAAGGGAAUUGCAGGAGCGGACAAAGGUGCUAAAAUCUCCCCCAAAGCGGAUUUGGGAGCGAAGAUAAAGAAAGUGGGAUUGCAGUCCAAGCUGGGGGUUUCUCCCAGUAAAUAUAAAUGGAAAGCCUCCGGCUUGCAGGCUUUGCCUUCCACUUCCAAGUCAGCAUUCCAGUGGAGAUCCGAGGACCAGAGGAAGGCUCCAGCCCCAAGUAUCCCUCGAACCGUCUGUGUCACGCCGGCUUCAAGCGCGGCGUCCGUUGUUCCCGGUGGGAUGAAAUCCUCUGGAGAGGCUGCACUGUCCAGUUACAAAGUGAAGAGUCGGACAAAAAUCAUCAAGAGGAAAGGGAAUGUGGGUUCCCCCACGGAUAAGAAGAACAUCUCCCCCACCACAGCUCUGAAGAGUCGCUUCCACCUCCGGAGGAGAAAUUCCAUGCGGGGAAAACCUUUGGUGACGGUGAAGCGCUCCUCGCCCCGGGGCCUGGUGCAGAUUUCCAAGCACCGGCUCUGCCGGAUGCCGGCGACCAGGACACAGGCAGCCACCAAGGAAGGAUCCAACUCACACUUCAUAAGGAGUCCCCCAGCCAACAAGGUGAUAAAGACGCGCUACAGGAUCGUGAAGAAGAAUGUGGUGUCUCCAGCCUUAUCAUCCUUCACCAGCCCCAUUCCCACCUGGAAAACCAGGCGCCUUGUGACAUCCAGAUCCCCAUUGUUAAACCAAACCCGACCCUCACUCCAAGGUGGCAAAUCCCAGCUCGUCCAGCAGCACUGGAGGAACAAAGGCUUCCGCUGCAUCGGCGGCGUCAUGUACCGGGUGUCGGCCAACAAACUCUCCAAAACUUCCAGCAGCCCUGUCCGGGCCAGGGACCUGAGCACCAAAACUCCCAUUAGAGCAGCCCUGAGAUUGCACUCCACACCCAGUCCUGGGGUCUUUACACCCAGCCUGAGCAGAUCCUCAACGUGCCGAUACAUUGCCAGCCGUGCUGUGCAGAGGAGCUUGGCCAUCAUCCGUCAAGCCAAGCAGAAGAAGAAAAAGAAGGAAUAUUGUAUGUAUUACAACCGCUUCGGGAAGUGCAAUCGCGGCGAGAGCUGCCCCUACAUCCAUGAUCCAGAGAAAGUGGCUGUCUGCACCAGGUUUCUCCGUGGCACGUGCAAGAAGACGGAUGGGACCUGUCCGUUUUCCCACAAAGUGUCCAAGGACAAGAUGCCGGUGUGUUCCUACUACUUGAAGGGGAUCUGCAGCAACAGCAAUUGCCCCUACAGCCACGUCUACGUGUCCAGGAAGGCAGAAGUGUGCCAGGAUUUCCUCAAAGGAUAUUGUCCCAUGGGAGAAAAGCAGGAAAGGGGGGAAUUCAGCCCCUCUGCCCCACUCGGGUGAGACCCCACCUGCAGAGGUGCCUCCAGCUCAGGAUCCAAUAGAAGAAGGAAGAUGGGGAGCUGCUGGAAUGAGUCCAGAGGAAGCCACGGAGAUGCUCCGAGGACUGGAGCCCCUCUGCUCUGGAGCCAGGCUGAGAGAGCUGGGAAUGUCCAUCCUGGAAAAGGAAAGCCUCUGAGGAAACCUUAGAACCAUUUCUAAGGGGCUCCAGGAGAGCUGGAGAGCGACUUUGGACAAAGACUCAGAGUGCCAGGACAAAGGGGAAUGGCUUUCCACUGCCAGAGGGCAGGGAUAGAUGGCAUAUUGGGAAGAAACUAUUCCCUGUGAAGGUGGUGAGGCUCUGGCACAGGUUGUCCAGCCCAGAGUGCUCUUCUCCUCCUUUUCUCCAUCCUGGUAGUGCUCUUUUGCAGAGGUACAACCCAUCAGGAGAAGCUGUAGGUGCUCAGAUCCCACCAGCGUGGCCACCAGCCUGUCCCAGAAUCCAAACACAACGUUGGAUGGAAUCCUAGUAUCAUUUAGGUUGGAAAAGACCUCUAUGAUCAUUGAGCCCAGCUUUGAGCACAGCACUGUCGAGUCCCACUAAACCCCAUCUGGUGUUUUCCCCAUCCUUCCCGAGGAGAAAACACCAAAGAGCAAAAACCAGGGAAAAAAGCCAAAAGUGAGAGUUCUAAGGAAAGCAGGACAUCAGCAACAGCAGAGGGAAGCUCUAAUAAAUUAGUCUGGGCCUAAUUACUUUUUGUGGCAGCGCGUGGAGGGGGACUUGAUGCAGGAUAAACAUUCCCUCAGAAGGAAAACACAGGCAUCCUGCCACCUCCCUCCAGCGCAGCUCCAACCACGCAGGCAGGGUCCCGACAAUUAUUUUUAAAAUAUUCCAAUUUAAAUGAAAAUAUAAAAGAGAUAUUUAGAAUAUUUAUUCUAUUAGGAAAAGUGCUUACGGCGUCACUUUUGGAAUGUCGGGAAAGCAUUCUCCUCCAGAUGAUGGAUAGCAGCCUGUAAUUAUAUAUGGGGAGAAAUUGCUGAGCGGGCCAUAUUUAACUGGGGAGGAGAAAUUCCAGCUUGGGCCAUUAAGGGUUAAUUUUAUUCUCUAAAUAAUAUAAAAAGUGCUGAGUCCGUGCCUUUGCUCCAAGUAGAAAGUCCUCAAAUGGACCCCGGAGAGUUUAUAAUAUUCUACUGAAUCAAGGAAAAAUGUUAACCUUGCUUCAUAAAACGAUGGCUUGUUAAAGAUGCGCAGUCCCUUUUCUUGUGAAUUAUUUAGGAUGGGAGUAAAUCUUCCCUCGUUCUGCCUUUCCCUGUCCGAGCAAUGUUGGUUUGAAGCACAAAGAGCACGGAAUGCGAAGGCGUGCGACUCCGGUGGAGCAUCCUGGGUGGAUAAACUCCAACGAGGCUGGUCCAUAAUUAGGAGAUUAGGUUGUUUUAUGCUGAUUUUUGGCAUGCUGGGCUCUUCUUCCAGUUGCGUUUUCCUCUUUGUGCCCUCCCAGACAAACACAAUUCCUGAUUUUUAGCAGACCUCCAUCAAAAAUGUCCAUUAUUAUCCAUAAUUUAUGACAUGUUGUUGGCAGCGUUGUCUCUUAAGGACUUCCUAGGAUGUGUUGCAGCAUUCUCAGGAUAAGUUGAUCCGCCUUUGACCCAUUCCAUGGACUGUAAUUCCAGCUGCUCUUCGUACAAAUGACGCCAGGACUGACUUACUCUGGCUUCACCAGGAAUUUAGAAUUAAGUGAGAAAGCUUUAAUUUUGCAUCCCUAAUCCUUUUUCCAGGAAUGUAGAGGGUCUAAAUCCACCCUUGGGGAAGGGGACAGCUCCUGUACAAGACCAUGAGCACGUCCUUCUUAAAGGGAAUGUUACCCCCAGUAUUAAUUAAUUGGUCAAAAGUUGGACCUGAUGAUUUUGGAGAGCUUUUCCAACCUAAAUAAUUCCAGGAUUCUGUUUCCAGAAGGGAGCUGGUGGCACAGCUAGGACCUUGGUUUCCAGCAUUUCUACAGGUUCCUUGGUCAUGGGUUGGGAAGUUUCACCAUUUGUGCUUCCUAAAGAGAUCAUCCCUAAACACAGUGAUAUAUGUGUCCCUUAAAGCCAUGGAGUGACUCCCACCUCGGAGAUCUCUGUCCCAGUUUUCCUGGAGCAUCCUGCCCUUCCCUGGCACCCUGACCUGGUCAUGCUGGGAGGUCCCUCUGGGCUUGGCCACCUGCACUGGAGGAAGCCCCAAGAAGGAAGUGGGAAGAGAGGGAGAAAUGGGGCCUCAGGUUCUUCCCAGGGUUUUCCAGAGAUGUUUUCAUGAGCUGCUCUGCGGUCAGAGUUCCUCUGUUGUUCCACAUCCCUCCUCCCACAAUGGAGCCUUGUGCAGGGGCUUGGAGGAGGAAUUCUCUAGGAGAAGAUGGGAUGAGGCUGGUGGGUGUGAGGGAUGUGGCAGCACCAGUAAGUGAAGUGUCUGUGGUGACGUGACCCCAGAGCAAGGGACAAGCAAGAGGAAACAUUGGAUGGAGACAUUGUGGAUGGCCCAUCCCUGGAAGUGUUCAAGACCAGGUUGGAUGGGCUUGGAGCAACCAGGAAUAGUGGAAAGUGUCCCUACCUAUGCCAGAGGGUUGGAACAGGAUGGGCUUUAAGGACCUUUCCAACCCAAACCAGAUUUGAUGGCAAACCAGGGGCUGGGAUCUCUGUGUGGCCGAGAGCCUGGAGCUGGGAGCUCAUCCAUAGAUGAUCCCAAGGACCACCUGCCUUGGGAUUUUCUUCCCAAGCACAAAAGAUGAAGGAGGAAAGAUUUAGAUGGAAUAUUGGGAAGAAUGCCUUCCUGUGAGGGUGGUGAGGCCCUGGCAGAAGUUGUCCAGAGAAGCUGUGGCUGCCCUAUCCCUGAAAGUGUCCAAGGCCAGGUUGGACAGAUCUUGGAGCAACCUGGGAUACUGGAAGGUAUCCCUGCCAACAGCAGGGGUUUGGAAUGAGAUCAUUGAGGUCCCUUCCAACUCAAACCACUCAACGAUUCCAUUGCUGCAUCUGGAAAAUUGUUUUGUAUUAAAUAAUCUUCCCCCCUCCAUGCCCAUUAGCACCAGAGCCGCAUUAAAUCCCUCUCCCCGGAUUGUUUCCAUCGGCUGCCUGGGAGCCUGUGGGUAAAGUGUUCCCUCAUGGGAGCUGUUAAACAGUGAGACACACUGAGAUUAAACAACAAAGCUUCCCUGGAAAGGCACGGGGAGAUGUACUGGAAUAAAUCAUGGAUAAGAGGAGAAUCUGUUGCCAUCCCUCUGAAAUCCCAACUGGCACAAGCAGCCUUGUGAUGGUGAGGCUUGACAUGGGGACCUGCCAUGGCAGGAGGCUUGAGCUGUGCUGGGACCACUCAUCCCAGCUCAUCUUAUUCCUAAAAUCCAUCUUUUUAUUGGACCAAGGGCUUUCACCAAAGCUCUAAUUUCUGCCUUAUCUAUGUAAAAAAUAUGGGACAGGGGCAGCACUGCCUGAGGAAGUGCUGCUUCCUUGGGAAGAAUAAUUUUCCUCCCCCAGGUGGAGCUUGGUGGUUUUUGCAGUGGCAGCUGCUUGAUUUUGCUGUAGAAAAUCCAAAUGUGGGGAUUUUUUUCUCAGCUGAAACCUCGUUCUUGUGUGGUUUUUUGUGUGUUUGUUUGGUUAUUUUUUUCCUUUUCUGGUGGAAGUUCAACUAUUUCCCACCAGAAACGUAAUGUUUUUGUGUGUCUGAUACAGUUUAACAAUUUAACACAUUUCUUUAGAAAAAGCCAUGUGAGCUGUGUUACAACAGUAAAUAUUAAAUGUCUGUGGGGUUUUCUCUUAAUUAGCCAGUGAUGGAGAGCAGCAGCCUGGGAUCAUGGUUUUCCUUAAUCUUUUAUCAUGGAAAGGUGAAGUUCAACACUUCAUGCUUUCUGAGCUCAGCUGGCUUUUCUGGUUCAACCAGCAUUUUUCUUUCCUCACAGCCAUCAGGUCUUGGUAUUUCUGGGUCUUUUUUUCCCCCUCCUUUGAUCCCAGAUUGACUCCCAACCAACUUGGCUUUUCCUUGAGGAACUCUUGAACAAAAGGUUGUCCAGCCCUGGCACAGGCUGACCUGGCAAGCUGUGGAAUACUCAUUCCUGGAGGGAUUUAACAGCCCUGUGGAAGUGGCACUUGUGGACAUGACUUAGUGGUGGCCUUGGCAGUGCUGGAGGAAUGGGAUUUUUCAACCUAAACAAUUCCCUGAUUCUAUAAUGAUUUAGAAAUAGCUGAUGGAGAGCUCUGCCUUUGAUAGCUCUUUUAUAGUCCACUGCAGCUGUAUGAAAAUCAACUAGAAAAGCAACUUAAUUUUGUUCAUCCUUAAUUUUGGCUCUGGCUGACAGAUGUUUUCUGGGAGCUUGAUUUGGGAUUUUUUUCCCCCAUAAUGUGUAGCAGAAAUCUUCAGUCAUCAAACUGAUGAGCAAGUGGAAUUUUUAUUUAAAAUUAAGUAUGGGUAGGAUUGGUAAUGAGGCUGUUUUUGAGGUCAUCAGUAGUGUCCAGGAUGGAUUUGAGCUGGCUGAAAUCUCUCCAGGUUCAUCCCAUUGGUUUGCUGGGAAUGUUGAGUCCUUGUCCACAUCCUCUGAGCAACAAAUGCUGCUGAUAAUAAAUGAUAAAUCCAGUCGUGGCAAUGGGAUCUUCCCAUUGGAAGCAGUUUGUAGCCUUCAGAAGAGGUUUAAAACUGAUCAGGAUUCUUCCAUGGCCAAUCCUGUCCUCAUAUCUCUAUGAAAAUCUUGUGGGUUUCCAGUUGUAUCUCAUAGUUUGUAAUGGGAUAAUGAAGGUUCUUAUUGCUCCUUUAACUGUAGCAUCUCCAAUGGAAUUCUGAUCCUUACAUUAAAGAUGGGGCUUAUCAGGAUGCUGCUUAAUAGCCUGGGAUUGUUGAUAACAGCACCAAGAUAAAUCCCAGGCUGAGAUUUCCUCUUUCUUACACUUUAAUAUCUUUGUAGAAGGAGGUGGGGCACAAAAUGUGAAAAUUGGGAAGUCUGGGAGAAGAGCAGCCACAGAAUCACAGCUCUAACGUGGGAGUGUAGUGACAAGGCAGAGACUUCCUGGUUUCAACCUGAACUUCUGAACACAAAACCCAGCAGAUUGGGUUUUGCUUCUUGUCUGGAAUCUCCCUUUAAUUUGAUCUGUUCUCUGUCAGAAAAUCCCCACAUCCCAUGAGCAGUGGGUGAUUCCCAGGAUCACAGAAUGGCUCCGGUUGGAAGGGACCACAAUGGGGCAUCUGGUCCAAGCUCCCUGUUCCAGCAGGGACAUCCCAGAGCACAUGCAUUGUGUCCAGAGGGUUCUGGAAUAUCUCCAGUGAGGGAGACUCCCACCCUUUCUGAUCUCUGUUCAGGGCUUGGUGACUGCAUAGGGAGGAUGUUCUGCCUCAUAUCCAGGUGGAAUUUCCUGGGAUCAGUUCCUGCCCAUUCCUCUUGUGCCAUUGCUGGGCCCCCCAGAGCAGAGCCUGGUCCAUGCUCAGAGCCCUCCCUGCAGACAGGGACACACAGGGAUGAGGUCCCCUCUCAGCUGUGUCUCCUCUCGAGGCUGAACAGCCCCAGCUCCCUCAAACUUUCCUUAUCAGGGGUGCUCCAGUCCCUUCAUCAUCCUCACUGUCCUCCUCUGGACCUGCUCCAGGAGUUCCAUGUCUCCAGCCCUGGACAGAGCACUCCAGAUGUGCCCCAUCUGUUCUGAGGAGAGAGACAGCAUCACCUCCCUCGACUUUCCUAAGGCAUCUCCCUUAAUUUGCUCUUCCUAAUGAUCUCAUUGGUGAUUCUUUGAGCCACCUGGAACCAGGCAUGUGGUGGAGCCCCAUGAUCCCUGAUGGAAAUGGUGCCAUUGGGAAUGCCCAGAGGGUGUCUGCCUCACUCCACACCCAACAGUGAUGAUUUGUGGUUGGGAAUUACCAUUGAUGGGUAGACCAUGUGAAAGUGGCUCUGUUGUGGCUUUCGAGUGGGAUGGAUGGGAUCGUGGAGGUCCCUAAUGGAAAUGGGGUUCCUCAAAGCAGUGCAGGGGAUGGUUGAAUUCCAUAGGCAUUGCCGCUAAAGGAUGAGUGCCGGGUUCAGAUUUCACCUUUUGGAUGUGCAAAAAGUUACAGCCAAUGACUCAAUUUCCAGUGGAAAACAGUGACAGGUGGUGGCCCUCAAGGGUCUGUAUUGGGACCAAUGCUAAUUAAUGCCUUCAUUAAUGACAUAAUGGGAUUGGAUGCCCCCUUGGCAAGUUUGCAGAUGACACCAAGUGGGUGUUGCCGUUGUUUCACAGAAUCCUGGGAUUGCAGACUGGUUUGGGUUGGAAGAGGCCUUAAAGACCAUCCAGUUCCAACCUCCUGCUUAUGAGCAGGGAUUCCCUCCCAUCUCCUUUGCUGCCUCUUAAGUAUGAUUUUCCCAAUGAUUUUCAAAGCACCAUCCUGGUCUUGCUCCAGCUCCAGAGGUAUUUUAGCUCAAAUGUUGUUUUAUUUCCUGAAAAUACCAAGUGAGAGGGUUUAUGGAUUUGCAGUGGAUUCUGGAGAGAUUUUAGAUCCCAAAUUCCUCUGAUCAUUUGGAGAUGACCAUCAGGAGUCAUCCCUUCACUACAGGCAUUUUGCUGGGCAAACUGUUUUGAGGGCAGAAACUUGUUUUGCAGCAAAUUCCUUCGAAUAACUACAUUGGUUAAAUUUCUCCAUCAUUAUUCCAGGCUGGAUGAUGUUCGGAUGUAUUGUCCUCCAGGUUUUAAUGACAGGGAGCCAGGAUUGUUUUUUUUAAGGCUGUUUCCAUCUGCACCCAAUUAUAAAAAAGCAAUCGGAAAAAAGCCAUUUACUGGCUGUCACUUUGGAGCGGCAUCAAAACAGCUCCAGCACCUCCAGCCAUCACUUCCCAACAGCCACUUAGAAGGACAUUAAAACAGCCUGACAUCCAUCCACUCCAUUAAUCCCACUGCUUGGCCGUGGGGAUACCUGGAAUAGCUUCGGCAAAAGCUGCAUGGAUGCUCAAGAGGGCUUUAAAAAGUAGGAAACACUGGAGUUGAGGCACUUGAGUUUUGGGGAUUUUAAUGCUCCUCUUCCUGUGAAGGUCUGGUUGGUGGGAUUUGUGUCCGUCAUGAUGGAUAGUGGGAUGGACAUGGAUCCCAAGGAGAUGGGAAGAGUGCUUCAGCACCUUGUCAUCUCUUCACUGAAUCACUGAAUAUUCUGAGUUGGAAGGGACCCACAAGGAUCAUCAAAGUCCAGCCCUUGUCACCUGCUAUUACACAGCACUGGGAAAGGAGCAGGGGGUGAGAUUAAGCCAGGAGAUACUUGAGAAGUUCAACCUGGCCAAACUGCUGCCCAGGAGCCAGGAAUGUGAGGCUGGGUGGGAUCUCUCCUCCCCACGCCAUACGGUCAGUGGGUUGGUUGUUGGUUGGCCCAGUGACCCAGCUUCACCUUCCUCCCACCCUCCAUCCCCUCCUGCCAAGCUUGUUCAUGGAAAAUGUUCAUUAACAUCAUUCCCAAGACUGAGCCAGGACUUUCCACCAGUUGCUGCUUCCUCCUUUGCCAGCUUCGUGCUAAAGAAGGCUGGGCCCUGCAAACCUCCUCAUCCCUGUCUCACUCCUGGAGCAUGUUGGGCCCCGUUGGACCAUUUAAGGCCUUGUGGAUCCUUGACAGCACCUGGAAUUUUACCCAAAGCUGCCCUGGCAGCCAAGGAGGAGUCCUGGACAUAGGAUCUGCCAGCUGGGCACCAUCCCAACCCUGGGCACCGUUGCUGGACAGGCUGUGGGGGGAACCCCACAGCAGGGAGACUGGGACUGGGAUAUACCCAUGGGGAUGUUGGCAAGGAGCCAGAGUGGGGUGAGAUUCCUCCCUGUGGCUUUUUAGGGAUUCUCUGGGGUUUUCUCAUCUCUUUGGUGGAAGGGACCAGAAUUUUUUCCCUUUUUAUGGCCCAACCUGUGGUCUGGCGGGGGUCCCGGGGGGGUAUAAUUAGCCACCCCAACAGGUGGCAGGGAUCAGAUGGCCCCCAGCACCACCCCACAGCCCCGCUAGGCUUCACCCCAGCUGACACGUGGCCAGCAGCAAAAUUCCCUAUGGAAACCCAGCCCCAGCGCGUUGGAUCUGGCAGGAGCAGGAGAGCUACUGUAAAUAAACAGAAGGGGCUUUUCCAGCCUCCAGAGGCAAUUCCAGUCUCACCAUCCCAGCUGUGGGACAACGAGGAUGGACGGGGCCUUGCGGAAGAAGGGCCGGAGCGCUGGGAACAGUGUGGAAAAGCCAUUAGAAACCCGAGCUGGGGACGUGGCCCUGGGAUUAGUCGCACAUGGUUUGUUUUCUUUAUUAAGUAUCUUUUUACCAUGGAGCCAAUAAACAUGGGCUGCUCCAAGGAUUCACUUGGAGGUUGGGGCUGGGUGGAGCACGGGGGAGGUGGCACAUCCUGAUCCUGGUGCCCAGUCGGGAUCAUGGCACUGUCCCACCCCGUAAUCGGUGCCCCGCUGGGAAGGAACAGCCACGUUUCUUGGCCUUUUCCCAAAAUAGCAUAAUUCCUCGAUGUAGCAGUGAUGCAUUCAUGUGGCUUUUUGAGGUCAGGGCUCUUUUUUUUCCUGCUCUUCUCCUUUCCAAGUCGAUUUUGUGCUGGAAACCCUUUUACAGAAGAGGAUUUCACAUCCUUUUCAGGGAUCGUCCAGGGCAGAGGCAGAAUUUGGACUUGAUGAUCGCUGGGAGUCCCUUUCAAUUCAGGAUGUUCUGUGAUUCCAGAAGCUGGGGAUGGUCAGACCAGGACCUGGCACCAAGACACAUCCCCGCAGUCUUGUGCUCCACUGGGACUGUCCCUUCCAGUGCAAGAAGAAGCACACGCUGGUUUGUCCCGACUUUGCCAAGAAAGGUGUCUGCCCCAAGGGUGCCCGGUGCAAACUCCUGCACCCCCAUAAGAGACGUCACCAACAGCAGGUUGUAGGUGAUGG